UUCCACUUUGAAAAUCAUCAGCUGAGAUUCAGGAGACAGAAAGUUUGUUUGGUCAGGAACUUCCAGCUGUUCCAUUGCCAAUAUGUAAAUUUCUCACUCAGACCCUUCUUCCUGCCAAAGAAUGGCCACUUAAUCAGCGAUGGAGAAACUGAGACACAGAGAAAUGGAACACAGGACUAUGGGGCCCAGAGUCCGUUACCUAAAGGUCUGCUUUAUGUUUGGUUGAAGGAGGCACUUCAAGACACCAGCCAGGGAAGAUCCCACAGUUGACAUGGCUUCUUUCAGCUUUACCAUCUGACAUCUCUCAUUGCUUGGGCAUGUUCCACUUCUCCUCUCACUCCGGUGUAAAAAAAAAAAAAGAACAAAACAGAUGAAUAAGAA